GAAAUGCGAUAAGUAAUGUGAAUUGCAGAAUUCAGUGAAUCAUCGAAUCUUUGAACGCACCUUGCGCUCCUUGGUAUUCCUUGGAGCAUGCCUGUUCGAGCGUCAUUUGUACCCUCAAGCUCUGCUUGGUGUUGGGUGUUUGUCCCCGUCUCCGCGCGUGGACUCGCCCCAAAGUGAUUGGCAGCCGGCGUACUGGUCCCGGAGCGCAGCACAUGUCGCGCAAACGAGUGCCUUGGUACGGCGGCGUCCAUAAGCCCCUCUCUCACGCUCUUGACCUCGGAUCAGGUAGGGAUACCCGCUGAACUUAAGC
rnacentral:misc_RNA from 1 species